GAGCGAACGCUGGCGGCAGGCCUAACCCAUGCAAGUCGAACGAACCUUUCGGGGUUAGUGGCGGACGGGUGAGUAACACGUGGGAACGUGCCUUUAGGUUCGGAAUAACUCAGGGAAACUUGUGCUAAUACCGAAUGUGCCCUUCGGGGGAAAGAUUAAUCGCCUUUAGAGCGGCCCGCGUCUGAUUAGCUAGUUGGUUGAGGUAAUGGCUCACCAAGGCGACGAUCAGUAGCUGGUCUGAGAGGAUGAUCAGCCACAUUGGGACUGAGACACGGCCCAAACUCCUACGGGAGGCAGCAGUGGGGAAUCUUGCGCAAUGGGCGAAAGCCUGACGCAGCCAUGCCGCGUGAAUGAUGAAGGUCUUAGGAUUGUAAAAUUCUUUCACCGGGGACGAUAAUGACGGUACCCGGAGAAGAAGCCCCGGCUAACUUCGUG
rnacentral:rRNA from 1 species